AAGUCGUAACAAGGUUUCCGUAGGUGAACCUGCGGAAGGAUCAUUAGAAAAUCCAGGAGUGUUCAAUACUCUUGGGCACAUUUCUAACCACACUGUUGACCAUUACCUCUGUUGCUUUCACAGCAAGGUAAUUUUUGCCUUGCUGUGAAUGAAUUCCAACUUUAACCUUUGUAAAUAGCUGUCUUUGUCUGAUAAUAAAAAUUAAACAUUAUAAAACUUUCAACAACGGAUCUCUUGGCUCCU
rnacentral:misc_RNA from 1 species